GUGAAGAUGGCGCUGUCCAGGGUGUGCUGGGCUCGGGCUGCUCUGUGGGGUUCGACUGUCGCCCCUGGACCCUUUGUCACCCGGAGGCUGCAGCUGGGCCGCUCUGGCCCUGCGUGGCGAGCCCCUCGGUGAGGGCCCUGGAGAAAGAAGAGCAUUUUUGAUGUAGAAGCCCUUCCAGCGGCUCAGCCUCCGCCUCUCGGGAUCCCCUGCCUUGGGCCCUGGGUUUUGCUUUUCCAUGCAGGAUUCCCACCGAACGCCCGUCCCUGUCCCUCUCCGUACUCCGUGUCCACCCGAUUGUCCCCGCACAUCCUGAGCUCAUCUUUCAGCUUCCCCUUCCCAUCUCUCCAUGGCUUCAGCUUGCAUUCUCCUGGCCCCGCAGGCUUUGCGCACGCUCCACGCUCACACCUUUCUGCAUGAUCUGCCCCUCUCAUACCAACCCUAACCCUGAGCUUGGGUUUUCAGAAGAGUUCUGGCAAUCGCUCUCAGAAACCGUAUGUUUACCGAGGGGUCCUACGUACCGAAUGGCUUCUACUCCUUCGCAGAUAGUCUCUUUGGUCUUCGUUGUAGGUCUUCAAAGCUUCACCUUUCUCCGAAGGCGGACGUGAAGAACUUGAUUUCUUACGUGGUGACCAAGACAAGAGCGAUUAACGGAUCGUACCAUCGUUUCUUGGGGCGUCAUUUCCCCCGCUUCUAUGCCUUAUACACAACCUUCAUGAAAGGUAAACGCUAACAUUGAGAAGCCCGAAUCUGCUCUUCUGCGUUAGUCACAGUCAGUGAGAUUGCAAUGUGCCGGGUCCGCUGCUGCGCUGUGAGUUGGGAUGUCUUCUCUUCCGUCAGGGUUUGAGCAUGAAUUCUUACAAAUUGUCACUGCCACCUCUUAAAUAUCCAGAUGGAUGUUAUGGUAGACAAAUCCUGACAUCACUCGAGAGAGAGCAGAAGAUGUAAAUAUAUUCUCAUUUCCUUAGAAAUUCCUUGUCCUGCUCAGUGCAGACCAGACCCAGGGAUUGUUAUCAUAAGGAAACCAGAUUAAAUGCUUUGUUUUAAACUCCUUAACACCAGGGCGUCAUGGUCGAUUAACCCUGAGAGCUCCCCAGCCAGGUAGUAACUCGCUGCUUCGUGGGGCGUGUUUAUCACGUGGCCAGCUUAGAUAACUUGUAGUGGAAAUAGAACUGUAGACACUUGGUUUCUGAAUGCUUCCACUCAAAGUGGAGGUCCGCUAGCUAUGUUGAGAUGAUACCUAUAAUGUCACAUGACAGCCCUGGAACCAAAAUGCCGGAUUCAAAUCCCAUUUGUGACUUAGACUGUGCACUGGCGCUAGUGACACUUACAGGGUCUUUGGUGUCUCAUCUGUAAGGAGGUACUAGAACCUACCUGCUGAUUACCUAGUUAUGAUUAUUAUUUAGUCAUCUAGGAAGAGUGUAGCUCGGGCUGGCCUGGGGCUUUCUGUGUAGUGGAGGAUGACCUUGAAUUUCUGGUCUCUCUGCCUGCUGGGAUGGUAAUGCUGAGUGAGCCACCACACCUAAUGGUGAAGAGUAGAUCAACAUAUUUAAAAGGCUUAGAACAUGGCCUCAUUUAUUUUAGUAUGACAGCUCUAUACCAAGUGUCCAAUAUGUGUUAACUUUUUCUAUUGUUGUAUUCUAUACUUUUAUCCACUAAUAAAAAAAAAUAGAACGUUGCCAACUCUGAAUCUUACUCUAAUCAUUAGCGUCAUGGAGUUUAUCUAAGAAGUGGAGGUAACAAUGGCUGCCUUGUUAGCCACGGGGGUUCUGUGUCUUACAGCCCCACAACCCAGCAUCCCAAGGCAGGAGAAUCAGGAGGUCUAGGCCAGCCUCAGCUACACAGCAAGGCUGUAACAACAAAAACAACAAACCCCCUCGAAACAAAAUACUUAACGACCACCAAUCAUAGACACAUAUAUGCCUUGUGUUAUUUGAAGCCAACCUAGAUAACAUUUUGGAAGCAUUAGAAGUGAUUUUAUUCAUUUUAUUUGUGUGACUGUCUUGCCUACAUGCGUAUCCGUGUGCUGUGUGCAUGCCUAGUGCUCUCUGAGGUCAGAAAGCAUUAGAUGCCCUCGAGCAUGUGUUCUGGAUAGUUGCGAACCACCAUGUGGGUGCUGGGAACCGAACCUAGGUCCUAGGUGACUGCAAGAGCAGUAAAUGUUUAAACCUGAGUCAUCAUCUCUCCAGCCCUGGAAAUAGGUUUUUUUUUUUUUUAAAAAACUAGAAAAACAAGGAUUAUCAUAGAUGGAAGAUUCAGAAUGGAAUCAUAGCAAUAUAUCAAAUCAUGCAGCUUAUAAACAUGCCCCAGAAAGCAGCAAGUUAGUAUCUAGCUGGGAUGCACAUAGCUCAAGUUUAAAGCCAAGCAAUGAGUAAUUCAGCUGGGUUAUGUGCUAGGGGAAAGGAUGGGGGGGGCGGGUCUGCGAGGCACAAGCUUCCUUGUCGGUAGAGCCGGGGAGGGGCCGGUGUGUGUGCAUGUGAGUGACCACGGUAGGCGAUUCAAACCGGGAUAACACCACGUUCUGUCCUCCACUUUAAUGGGGCAGGAAUACAGAUGUUAUGGGCUGAUGGCAAAAAGGCUAGAAGAAUAAAGGCAGACAUGUGGAAACAAAACCUAAAGUUUCAUCAACUCUCUUACCGGGAGAUGGAGCAUUUGAGACAGGUACGGGCCGGGGACAAACACCCAGAAGCUCUCAGCGAGGUAACUGCGGAGAGCUCAGCUCGGCUUCCUUCCUUUCCUGUUGCUCACUGGUCAGACAUUCCCCUUUGCCACGAGGGCGUCCAGUUGUUUUUGUCAGAACUGGGCUCGCUGAGAAUGAAGCCCGCAGCAGGGCUAUAGAGAAUCCCAGGCGCACACUCUGAUUAAAUCUGUAAUU
rnacentral:lncRNA from 1 species